GACGUAGGGCGCGAGCGUUGUCCGGAUUUAUUGGGCGUAAAGAGCUCGUAGGUGGUUUGUCGCGUUGUUCGUGAAAACUCACAGCUCAACUGUGGGCGUGCGGUCGAUACGGGCAUGACUGGAGUUCGGCAGGGGAGACUGGAAUUCCUGGUGUAGCGGUGAAAUGCGCAGAUAUCAGGAGGAACACCGGUGGCGAAGGCGGGUCUCUGGGCCGAUACUGACGCUGGAGGAG
rnacentral:rRNA from 1 species